CACCAACACAGCGCGCGGAACGCCGGCCGUGACGUCAUCGCACCGAUGACGCCAUGGUGUGCGCAGUGGCAAAAAAGGCCCGACCCGACCUGAAGCAGUCAGUAUCCUUGAGAAUCAUGGCUGGACAUUCUCAAAGUCAAGCUUUACUUAAUGAACCAUUACAGACAAUCCUGCGUUUUCGCCAUCAUAUUGCUUCAGCAGCAUACAUGGCGCGUAGCCUCGAACGUCUCCAGGUUCAAGUUAGCCCCCCAGCACUACCAGCUGGGGCUGCGCCGGCUCCAAGGCGUAUCGGAGGCUAUGACACGAGCCAGCCGUCCUAUUUACGAAACCCUGUUAGGAUCCCAACAGAUCCAAUGAGGAGAAUGCAACAAUUUCUGCGUCAUCUUGAGGCCGAAGGACACCCAAAAGGGACGAUCGAACAUUUUCCACGACGUAAAGGAAGAACAGGCGCAGUACACCUAAUAGAGGGGUUCGGGAAUUUAAUAUAUGCAAAUGGGGACGGACGAUAUGUAGAGAUGCGUAGAAGAAGACGUAGAAGAAGAACAGGCUCAGUACACCUAAUAGAGGUGAUUGGGAAUUUAAUACAUGCACUUGGGAACGGAGAGAUGCUUGACCGUUUUCAACGCCAAAUUUGGGAUGCAGCAGAGCUAGCUGAGAUGCUUCAACCAUUAACAGGCCUACGAGCGGCGGCUGAACAUUUUCAACCUUCUCUAAGGAGUGGCGCAGGCCAGCAAAUGCUGAAGGAACAUUUUGAACAUCAUAAUGAGGUCCCGGUAGAUUUUUAUAGUCGUUACGAAGGCCUAGCUGAUCCAACAGAGAUGAUGGAGCGUUUUUUCCGUCAUAUUGACGCGGCAGCAGACCUUGUACAGAAGCUGGAACGUUGGCGAUAUCUUCUUGAGGGUCCAGCAGGGGUUGUGAUAUAUGAAAGCAGUGAUGCCGAACCCCGGUCAUAUUUGCGACGUAAUGACGAGUCCCAAGCAACCCCAAUACAGAUGAUUAGAGAGUUUCAACAGGAUAUUCGGGAGGCUGAAAUCAUGAUACAGAUGAUUGUACAUUUUCUAAUUGUUUACAAGGACCUGGAAAACCCAAUGGAGUUGGUACGCUUUAUUUUAUUUAUUUAUUUUACAAGCGAGAGCGAAGAACCUGCAUGGCUGAUGACUAAACAUUUUGAACGCCAUAUUUGGGCCGCAGCAUAUCUAGCAGAUAGAAUUGAACGUCAUAGUGAAGACCAGCAGAUGUACAGCAAUGCAGCAGGAGGUGAACCGGAGGAAUAGGAUAGUAGGGCCCUAUGAAAUCGGUUUUAUUUUUGGCUAAGAAUUUUGCCAAAUGUAUUAUGCAUAUGUGAAUUCGCAAAAUAAAAAUAAGUAUAUUAAAUAGAAAAUGCACUUUUAGUAUUCUUUACCUAACUUGAACAUUUUAAUGUUACUUUUAUGUUCUUAAGUAUACUAGUAUGUCAGAGAAUACAAACAAACUCAUUAAGCUACACCAACACCCAAACACAGUACAUACAGUAGUGUUAUAACAACAGUGGUCCGUAUCACGGAACAAAUUGUAUUUUAAAAAA
rnacentral:lncRNA from 1 species